rnacentral:rRNA from 1 species
GAACGGUAACAUAAGAGCUUGCUCUUGAUGACGAGUGGCGCACGGGUGAGUAACGCGUAUGCAAUCUACCUAUAACUGAGGAAUAGCCCAGAGAAAUUUGGAUUAAUACCUCAUAAUAUUAUUAUUUGGCAUCAUUUAAUAAUUAAAACUCCGGUGGUUAUAGAUGAGCAUGCGUUCUAUUAGCUUGUUGGUGAGGUAAGAGCUCACCAAGGCUACGAUAGAUAGGGGGCCUGAAAGGGUGAUCCCCCACACUGGUACUGAGACACGGACCAGACUCCUACGGGAGGCAGCAGUGAGGAAUAUUGCACAAUGGAGGAAACUCUGAUGCAGCCAUGCCGCGUGCAGGAUGAAGGCCCUAUGGGUUGUAAACUGCUUUUUUACAAGAAGAAACCUUGGUACGUGUACCAACUUGACGGUAUUGUAAGAAUAAGCACCGGCUAACUCCGUGCCAGCAGCCGCGGUAAUACGGGGGGUGCAAGCGUUAUCCGGAUUUAUUAGGUUUAAAGGGUUCGCAGGCGGAAUUUUAAGUCAGUGGUGAAAGCCUACAGCUCAACUGUAGAACUGCCAUUGAAACUGAUAUUCUUGAGUAUAGAUGAAGUGGGCGGAAUAUGUCAUGUAGCGGUGAAAUGCAUAGAUAUGACAUGGAACACCAAUUGCGAAGGCAGCUCACUAAACUAUUACUGACGCUCAUGAACGAAAGCGUGGGGAGCAAACAGGACUAGAUACCCUGGUAGUCCACGCCGUAAACUAUGAUCACUAGAUGUUGGCGAUAUAUUGUCAGUGUUUUAGAGAAAUCGUU